UUUCCGUAGGUGAACCUGCGGAAGGAUCAUUACAGAGUUCAUGCCCUUACGGGUAGAUCUCCCACCCUUGAAUAUUUAUACCUUAGUUGCUUUGGCAGGCCGUGGAAACACCAUGGGCUCCGGCUUAUGCGUGCCUGCCAGAGGAAACAAACUCUGUUUUUAGUGAUGUCUGAGUACUAUAUAAUAGUUAAAACUUUCAACAACGGAUCUCUUGGUUCUG
rnacentral:misc_RNA from 1 species